rnacentral:rRNA from 1 species
CGUGGAAGUUUGAAGGGUGUGUGGUGGAUGCCUAGACUCUAUAGAGCGAUGAAGGACGUAGCCUGUCUGCGAAAAGUUUCGGGGAGCUGACGAGCAAGCAUUGAUCCGAAAAUGUCCGAAUGGGGAAACCCAUCUUCUUACGGAAGAUAUCUCGAGCGCGUGUUCGAGAAGCGCACCUAGGGAAGUGAAACAUCUCAGUACCUAGAGGAAAAGAGACCAACAGGAUAUCUCGGUCUCUCUGCAAAUUUAUUUUUGCCGAGGGACCGGGAUUCUGGAAUUCCCCGAGUAGCGGCGAGCGAAACGGGAGAAGCCCAAACCUACGCAUCACAAUGUGUGUGAUGCAGAAAAAAAGAUUUGAAGAAAUAAUAUUCUUCAAAAAUUUUAGUAUCGUACAUAGUGUGAUGCGUGGGGGUUGUAAGGCGAUAGCGUUCCAUUUAUGGAAGGAAAGUCAUCAAUGAUUUUUGUAGCGGAAUCUGCUGGGAAGCAGAACCCUAGAGGGUAACGGUCCCGUACGCGAAACAAAAGUCACUUUCUUGUUGUCGUUCUUGAGUAAUCCGAGACAUGAAUAGCUUGGAUGAAUCUGCCGGGACUAACCGGCAAGGCUAAAUAUCUAUAGAGAUCGAUAGUGAACCAGUACCGUGAGGGAAAGGUGAAAAGUAGUCCGAUGAGGACAGUGAAAUAGUUCUGAAACCACACAUCUACAAGGAGUCGAAGAGGUGCAUGCACCUCGACGGCGUGCCUAUUGAAGAAUGAGCCGGCGAGUUUACGCACACGGCAUGGCUAAGGGCGUUAGCCCGGAGCCGAAGGGAAACCGAGUGUGAAUAGCGCGAAAAGUCGCGUGCGUAAGACCCGAAGCCAGGUGAGCUUGUCAUGAGCAGGGUGAAGUUUGUCGAAAGACAGAUGGAGGCCCGAACCCGUUGAUCGUAUAACGUCUUGGGAUGACUUGUGACAAGGAGUGAAAAGCUUAUCGAACCUGGUAAUAGCUGGUUCUCUCCGAAACAGCUUUUGGGCUGGCGUCUGAUGUUUCUCCCGGGGGUAGAGCACUGGAAGGAUCAAACAGGGAGCAAUCUCGUUGAUCCUAUCAAACUCCGAAUACCGGCGAGCGCAGUCAGGCAGUUAGACGAUGGGGGCUAAGCUCCAUAUGUCGAGAAGGGAAGAGCCUAGAUCUCAAGUUAAGGUCCCUAAAUUCGUGCUGAGUGCAUCACAAGGAAGUGGAAGUUCUAAGACAGUGAGGAUGUUGGCUUAGAAGCAGCCACCAUUUAAAGAAAGCGUAACAGCUCACUCAUCGAGAACUUCUGCGCCGAAGAUAAUCGGGGCUAAGCACGAUACCGAAACUGAGGGCUUAAUGCGAAUCCGUUUGCAUUGAGCGGUAGGAGAGCGUUCCAAACCGCGAUGAAGGAUAAGGGGUGACCCAUUCUGGAGCGUUUGGAAGUGAGAAUGCCGGCACAAGUAACCACAAUACGGGUGAGAACCCCGUACGCCGAAAGAUCGAGGUUUCCUUGGCACUGAUAAUCAGCCAAGGGUUAGUCGGGCCUAAGCAAAUGGCGAAAGCCGAACGCGAUGGACAUAGGGUUAAUAUUCCCUAACCUCGCGCUGGUGCGAUGGAGAGACGGAGGGUUGUACAUGGUGCACAUAAUUGGAUUUGUGUUUGUAGCGUGAGGGCGUAUCUUCAGGAAAAUCCGGGAUACAUUACCCCAAGCGAAGCAUAAACUUCUUGAUUCGUCAGGAGGAAUACCAUGGAGCACGCUUCCAAGAAAAUCUUCUAAGCUAUAGCCAGCGAGAGACCGUACCGCAAACCAACACAGGUGAUCAGGUCGAGUAGACCAAGGCGAACGAGUGAGAGGUCCUCAAGGAACUCGGCAAAACAGCGGCCGUAACUUCGGGAUAAGGCCCGCCUCCUAUUAAGUUAGGAGGCCGCAGCGAAAGAUUUCCAAUCGACUGUUUAUCAAAAACACAGCUCCCUGCGAACUCGCAAGAGGAUGUAUAGGGGGUGACACCUGACCAAUGCCAGAAGGUCAACUAAGGUUGGUGCAUGGUAGCAAUACUGUGUGCUGGACUUUAUAAGCCCUGGUCAAUGUCGGCGAUAACUAUAAUCGUCCUAAGGUAGCGUAAUUCCUUGUCUGGUAAGUUCAGACGUGCACGAAUGGUGUAACGAGUUGGAAACUGUCUCGAGGACUUGCUCGGUGAAAAUACAAUACCGGUGAAGAUGCCGGUUACUCAUAGUUAGACGAAAAGACCCCAGAAGCUUUACUGUAGCUUCGUAUUGGGAUUGCGAUGCAUAUGCGUAGCAUAGACGGGAGAGGUUGAAGCGCUGAUUUUGGUUGGCGUGGACUCAACAGUGAAAUACCGUUCUUAUGUGUUGCAAUUUCUAACCUCAGGCAAAACACCUGGGAGACAGUGCGUGGCAGGCAGUUUGAGUGGGGCGCUCUCCUCCCAAAAAGUAACGGAGGAGCCUACAAAGGUCAGCUAGGCGCGAAUGGAAACCGUGCCGGUCGUGUAAUGGCACAAGCUGGCUUAACUGCGAGACGUACAUGUCGAGCAGACACGAAAGUGGAGCAUAGUGAUCCGACCUUAUGCAUUAGAUGCAGGGGAAGCCCAACGGAUAAAAGUUACUCUGGGGAUAACAGGCUAGUUCCGCCUAAGCGUCCAUAGCGACGGCGGAGUUCGGCACCUCGAUGUCGGCUCACCACAUCCCGGAGCUGGAGAAGGUUCCAAGGGUUUGGCUGUUCGCCAAUUAAAGUGGUACGCGAGCUGGGUUCAGACCGUUCAGUUGCUGAAAAUUUUUCGGCGCUUGGACAGUCUGAACCCGAUCGAGAAAAUGAAAGUUAUCCGAAAUAUAUAAAAGGUUUUUCGUCAGAAAAAAGAGUAAAGAGUCAACCAAUCACGGCGGUCUUGCAUGGGAACAUGCAAGAAGAAAUCAACUUAUAUCGGUGAAGCCCAAUUCACAUUCGUGUGAAGGGUAAUACCGAGGGAAUAGACGCAGAAAGUAGUUGUCAGUACGCAGUUAGCAGAAAAUUCAUUCUGCAUACUGCAAUCUGUACACUGCCCACUUCUUCUUGCCCCUAGAGACUGAAUGUUGAACAUCCAGAACGGAUGAAGUUACAGUCCAAUGCACGAAGGUAAUUCGUGAAAACAUGCGUGAGACAGGUUGGUCUCCUAUCUACUAUGAGCGUUGAUACUUGAGGAGAGUCGUCCUUAGUACGAGAGGACCGGGAUGAACUGACCUCUGGUCUAUCUGUUGUUCCGCCAGGAGCAUUGCAGAGUAGCUAUGUCGGGAAGGGAUAACCGCUGAAAGCAUCUAAGCGGGAAGCCUCCUCCAAGAUUAGGUAUCGUUAAGGCCCGUGAGAGAUGAUCACGUUGAUAGGCUUUAGGUGUACAUGCAGUAAUGCAUUGAGCCAAGAAGUACUAAUUCGCCGAUUCUGCGGG